CCUUUUGUCUCAUAUGUGCUCUGUGAAGUUCAAAGAGUGGAUUGUAGUACUGGCCACACUUUUGAGGCGGUCUGAGGUCUUAUUUGAUUUAUUUCAGCAUGAUUUGCGCUUGUGGAAAGCAUAUAGCAUUACUUUAAAGACCCAUCCGUCAUUUGUCGAAUACCAUGACUUGCUUGAAAGUUUGGAUGAAAAGCUUUCAUCCACUUCAAAUUCAGAAGAGACAUGAUCUAUAUGGAUGUAAAGAGUCCUUGGACAGCUUGAAAUGGUUAAAAGAGCUUCCGGUGAGAUCUUCUACUUCAAGAUUUAACCGCACCAACUUGAAAGCAGCAUAAACGUCUACUUCUCUAUUGAGAAGGUAGUUGAGUGGCUCUGUAAAACGCCCGAGAUGAGAUUUUCGGUUCUUGUUCUUCUGACCAGAUCUGUGUCCUGCAGAAAUUUAUUUUGUAGAUAGGCUUAUCAUUGCUCUUAGUUCUUUGGUUUCCAUAGUCCUUUGUAUCAAAUUUUAGCAUUGUCCUUAAGGGUGUGGGUGAUCAUAAUGAAAAGGGCCACCUCUUGUAUGAAAGAUCUGAUCUUCUGAUAAAUAGAGAAUAGAGAUGAUUUUGUGCAUUGUUGUUCCCUUAUUUUUUUAUUUACAGUUAUUACCAGAUUUUAUUGUUUUCAUUGAGGGUGUGGGUGAUUGUAAUGAAAAGGGCGACUCUUGUAUGUAAGAUUGUGAUCUUCUGAAAGAUAAAGAGUAUCAAGAAGAUCUCGUGCACUUCGUUUCAUGGGACAAAUAAAGCUUAAAGCUGAAAACUUAUGCUUCAGAAUUCUUUGAA